rnacentral:rRNA from 1 species
GAUGAACGCUGGCGGCGUGCCUAACACAUGCAAGUCGAGCGAACACACGAGAAGCUCUCGCUCUUAACGGUAGCGAGUGACGGGUGAGUAACGCGUGCAUAAGCUACCUAUUUUACUUGGAUAAUUUCGUGAAACCGGUGCUAAUACCGGAUAACAUGUUGAACCGCAUGGUUCAACAGUUAAAGACGCUUUUGCUGUUACUUUUAGACGAUUUCAGGUCGGAUUAUCUAGUUGGUAAGGUAACGGCCUACCAAGGCAACGAUGCGUAGCCGGGCUGAGAGGAUGAUCAGCCACACUGGAACUGAGACACGGUCCAGACUCCUACGGGAGGCAGCAGUAGGGAAUAUUGGACAAUGGGCGAAAGCCUGACGCAGCAACACCGCGUGAGUGAAGAAGGUCUUCGGGUCGUAAAGCCCUGUUAUUAGGAAAGAAAAGAAGUAUAUGAAACUACGGCCGUCUUGACGGUACCUAAAGAGAAAGCCCCGGCUAACUACGUG